CGGCGAGUAGCGCAGCUUGGUAGCGCAACUGGUUUGGGACCAGUGGGUCGGAGGUUCGAAUCCUCUCUCACCGACCA
rnacentral:tRNA from 1 species